UACCCGCAGCACAAGUGGUGGUCAUUAUUAUUGGGCCUAAAGCGUCCGUAGCUGGCCUGUUAGAUGCCUGGGUAAAUCGAUGCGCUCAACGUAUCGAAUUCCGGGUAGACCGGCAGGCUCGAGACCGGGAGAGGUGUAGGCUACUCGCGGGGUAGGGGUAAAAUCCUGUAAUCCUGCGGGGAGGACCAGUGGCGAAGGCGCUACACUAGAACGGCUCUGACAGUGAGGGACGAAGCCCUGGGGCGCAAACCGG
rnacentral:rRNA from 2 species